CUUCUCCUCUCUGUCCGUCAGCUGGUCACACAUGAAGGACACCAGUUUGGAGAAAGACGGGCGGUCGCACGGUUCCAGGGACCAACACUUGCACAUCAUAUCGUACCUGGAGAAGACGAAAACAAGCACAUGGGAGAUCUGUGCAUCACUAUGGAUGUGAGCAGUGUGAGCAGACAGCAGCUGGCUGUCGGAAUGUUAAAAAAAAAAAAGGCCUCACAACAUAAAGACAACUGAAAGUGGAGAGGACGUUGGAGAUAACCGCGCCUGUGUGGAUCAUUUCCUCCAGUACAGGGAAGCCAAACAGCCAAGGUUCACGAUGUUGGUGUGGUGACCGAUGUGAGUCACCAUCUUCAGCUCCGACAUCAGCGCCUCCUUCUCCACUGUCUGGUGUUUCUCUGUCGGGCGUCAAACAGUGACGAGCCACCUGCUGUGACACUCCAGGCUUGUUGAUGCCAUAGGCGGUCGCUUGGACCACCAUCCCGAAAGCCCCAG